GUCUCCCUUUCUCCUGCAAAAGUUUCUUUAUUUCUGCUUGAAUCUUCCUGCUAAGCCCCUCCAGCCCUGCACAGCCAGGAGUGUCAGUCACAGAAGGAAAGCACUUUUGAUACAAGCAGGGGCGUUUGAAGUAAUUUGGGGGCCCAAAG